UAGGGAAUCUUCCACAAUGGACGCAAGUCUGAUGGAGCAACGCCGCGUGAGUGAAGAAGGUUUUCGGAUUGUAAAGCUCUGUUGUUGGUGAAGAAGGAUAGAGGCAGUAACUGGUCUUUAUUUGACGGUAAUCAACCAGAAAGUCACGGCUAACUACGUGCCAGCAGCCGCGGUAAUACGUAGGUGGCAAGCGUUGUCCGGAUUUAUUGGGCGUAAAGCGAGCGCAGGCGGAAUGAUAAGCCUGAUGUGAAAGCCCACGGCUCAACCGUGGAGCUGCAUCGGAAACUGUCAUUCUUGAGUGCAGAGGAGGAGAAUGGAAUUCCAUGUGUAGCGGUGGAAUGCGUAGAUGUAUGGGAGGACACCAGUGGCGAAGGCGGCUCUCUGGUCUGCAACUGACGCUGAGGCUCGAAAGCAUGGGUGGCGAACAGG
rnacentral:rRNA from 1 species